rnacentral:rRNA from 1 species
CAAUAGCGUAUAUUAAAGUUGUUGCAGUUAAAAAGCUCGUAGUUGGAUUUCUGGUUGAAGCGACCGGUCGGGCGUUGAUUCGUCUGCACUGGAGUCGGUUUUGGCCAUCCUCUAGGAAAGUGCGUCUGGUAUUAAGUUAUCGGGCGUAUGAUCCUGGUCUUUUACUGUGAAAAAAUUAGAGUGUUUAAAGCAGGCCUUCGCCUUGAAUACAUUAGCAUGGAAUAAUAAGAUAGGACUUUGGUCUAUUUUGUUGGUUUGCAGACCGAAGUAAUGAUUAAUAGGGAUAGUUGGGGGUAUUUAUAUUCCGAUGUCAGAGGUGAAAUUCUUAGAUUUUCGGAAGAUAAACUUAUGCGAAAGCAUUUACCAAGGAUGUUUUCAUUGA